rnacentral:rRNA from 1 species
UAGUCCACGCCGUAAACGAUGAGUACUAGCUAUUGGGGGUAUUGACUCCCUCAGUGGCGCAGCUAACGCAUUAAGUACUCCGCCUGGGAAGUACGGUCGCAAGACUAAAACUCAAAGGAAUUGACGGGGGCCCGCACAAGCGGUGGAUUAUGUGGUUUAAUUCGAAGCAACGCGCAGAACCUUACCUAGGCUUGAAAUCCCUCGAAUCCCGAGUAAUUUUGGGAGUGCCCGCAAGGGAAUGAGGUGACAGGUGCUGCAUGGCUGUCGUCAGCUCGUGUUGUGAAAUGUUGGGUUAAGUCUCGCAACGAGCGCAACCCCUAUCUUUAGUUGCCAGCAUUAAGUUGGGCACUCUAGAGAGACUGCCCGGGUUAACCGGGAGGAAGGUGGGGAUGACGUCAAGUCCUCAUGGCCCUUAUGCCUAGGGCUACACACGUAAUACAAUGGUGCAUACAGAGGGAAGCGAUCGGGUGACCGUUAGCAAAUCUCAAAAAGUGCAUCUCAGUCCGGA